AGCUGGUAAAAUGGAACCAAA
rnacentral:ncRNA from 5 species